GGCGAACGCUGGCGGCGUGCUUAACACAUGCAAGUCGAACGGUGAAGCGCCUUCCUUUUUGGUGGGUGUGGAUGAGUGGCGAACGGGUGAGUAACACGUGAGUAACCUGCCCCCUUCUUCUGGAUAACCGCAUGAAAGUGUGGCUAAUACGGGAUAUUCUGUGUCUGUCGCAUGAUGGGUCUGGGAAAGAUAUUGUUUCGGUGGGGGAUGGGCUCGCGGCCUAUCAGCUUGUUGGUGGGGUGAUGGACUACCAAGGCGGUGACGGGUAGCCGGCCUGAGAGGGUGGACGGUCACACUGGGACUGAGACACGGACCAGACUCCGACGGGAGGCAGCAGUGGGGAAUAUUGAACAAUGGGGGAAAGCCUGAUGCAGCGACGCCGCGUGAGGGAUGGAGGCCUUCGGGUUGUGAACCUCUUUCGCCAGUGAAGCAGGCCUGCCUCGUUUGUGGGUGGGUUGACGGUAGCUGGAUAAGAAGCGCCGGCUAACUACGUG
rnacentral:rRNA from 1 species